rnacentral:rRNA from 1 species
CCUACGGGAGGCAGCAGUAGGGAAUCUUCGGCAAUGGGGGCAACCCUGACCGAGCAACGCCGCGUGAGUGAAGAAGGUUUUCGGAUCGUAAAGCUCUGUUGUAAGAGAAGAACGUGUGUGAGAGUGGAAAGUUCACACAGUGACGGUAACUUACCAGAAAGGGACGGCUAACUACGUGCCAGCAGCCGCGGUAAUACGUAGGUCCCGU